rnacentral:rRNA from 2 species
UGAAGAGUUUGAUCAUGGCUCAGAUUGAACGCUGGCGGCAGGCCUAACACAUGCAAGUCGAACGGUAACAGGAAGCAGCUUGCUGCUUUGCUGACGAGUGGCGGACGGGUGAGUAAUGUCUGGGAAACUGCCUGAUGGAGGGGGAUAACUACUGGAAACGGUGGCUAAUACCGCAUAACGUCGCAAGACCAAAGAGGGGGACCUUCGGGCCUCUUGCCAUCAGAUGUGCCCAGAUGGGAUUAGCUUGUUGGUGAGGUAACGGCUCACCAAGGCGACGAUCCCUAGCUGGUCUGAGAGGAUGACCAGCCACACUGGAACUGAGACACGGUCCAGACUCCUACGGGAGGCAGCAGUGGGGAAUAUUGCACAAUGGGCGCAAGCCUGAUGCAGCCAUGCCGCGUGUAUGAAGAAGGCCUUCGGGUUGUAAAGUACUUUCAGCGGGGAGGAAGGUGUUGUGGUUAAUAACCGCAGCAAUUGACGUUACCCGCAGAAGAAGCACCGGCUAACUCCGUGCCAGCAGCCGCGGUAAUACGGAGGGUGCAAGCGUUAAUCGGAAUUACUGGGCGUAAAGCGCACGCAGGCGGUCUGUCAAGUCGGAUGUGAAAUCCCCGGGCUCAACCUGGGAACUGCAUUCGAAACUGGCAGGCUUGAGUCUUGUAGAGGGGGGUAGAAUUCCAGGUGUAGC